GACAUUAUUUGCCAACGUGAUAUCAGGAAAGUCACUCAACCAACUCUGCAGGAUGUCCCGACUAUUUAUUCUAGCCUUCUGUCUUCUGUCUUUGCUGGCAGGCAGUGCUUUCGGUGACAUUGACCGGCUAAUUCACGCACUCGGCGGAUCCAACACCUUUGGUUUAAAUAAUCCUUCCACUUCAUUUGGAAUAAGAACCCCUUGGAGCGGAUUUUCUUUUGGCUUUGGUCGUUGAGUUCUCCGGCUGGAGAUCAAGUCUUCUGCAUUUUGUUAUGGGCUGUGAUCAGUCUGUUUGAAAACAAAAAUGUAAAUGUGAAUAUUAAUAUGAAACUUAAAUCUAGUAAAGCGAAUUGAAGCUGUAAAGUGUAGGAACGCUAAUUGGUGAAGAGUCGGUUGUAAUGCAGAAGCCUGAGGAAAAGUGGAAAAUAAAGAAAAGCCUGUGAAGGAUUUGAGAACAUUA